AACAUUAAAGGCACACUGUCAGCAAGUUUAGUUGGAAUAAUGUGAAUAUUAUAUGACUAGUCACACUGUGGGCAUGGGGAUCCGAGUAUAGGGAGAAAAUUAAAUCACACCAGACAGCAGUUAGAUUGGAAUGCACUUCUAGCAAAUAAUACUGCAAUACUAUAAGUCAAACCACUACUAGUGGUGGCAGGGCAUCUCCCCUAUGGCCCCAUGUGGCUUAAAUCACUGUUUCUUAGUCUUUUCCUAACAUUCACACAAAACAUAAUUAAUACUUAAUUCAACAUGGCAGUCCAAGUCAUUGUCCAAAUACACUUACAGUUGAAGUCAGAAGUUUAUAUACACCUUAGCCAAAUACAUUUAAACUCAGUUUUUCACAAUUCCUGACAUUUAAUCAUAGAAAACAUUCCCUGUCAGUUAGGAUCACAAUUUUAAGUGUGAAUGUGAAAUGUCAGAAUUAUUGUAGAGAAUGAUUUAUUUCAGCUUUUAUUAAUUUCAUAACAUUCCCAGUGGGUCAGAAGUUUACAUACACUUUAUUAGUAUUUGAUAGCAUUGCCUUUAAAUUGUUUGACUUGGGUCAAACGUUUUAUAACCCUUUGAGGUCAGGGCUUUGUGAUGACCACUCCAAUACCUUGACUUUGUUGUCCUUAAGCCAUUUUGCCACAACUUUGGAGGUAUGCUUGGGGUCAUUGUCCAUUUGGAAGACCCAUUUGCGACAGAGCUUUAACUUCAUGGCUGAUGUCUUGAGAUGUUGCUUCAACAUAUCCACAUAAUUUUCCUUCAUGAUGUCAUCUAUUUUGUGAAGUGCACCAGUCCCUCCUGCGGCAAAGCACCCCCACAACAUGAUGCUGCCACCCCCAUGCUUCAUGUUUGGGAUGGUGUUCUUUGACUUGCAAGCCUCACCAUUUUUCCUCCAAACAUAACGAUGGUCAUUAUGGCCAAACGGUUCAAUUUUUGUUUCAUUAGACCAGAGGACAUUUCUCCAAAAAGUAAGAUCUUUGUCCCUAUGUGCACUUGCAAACUGUAGUCUGGCUUUUUUAUGGCAGUUUUGGAGAAGUGGCUUCUUCCUUUCUGAGCAGCCUUUCAGGAUAUGAUGAUAUAGGACUCACUUCAAUGCGGAUAUAGAAGCUUGUCUACCCGUUUCCUCCAGCAUUUUCACAAAGUCCUUUGCUGUUGUUCUGGGAUUGAUUUGCACUUUUCACACCAAACUACAUUCAUCUCUAGGAGACGGAAUGCUUUUCCUUCCUGAGCGGUAUAAUGGCUGUGUUGUCUUAUGGUGUUAAUACUUGCAUACUAUUGUUUGUACAGAUGAACGUGGUACCUUCAGGCAUUUGAAAAUUGCUCCCAGUGAUGAACCAGAAUUGUGGAGGUCCAGAUUAGUUUUUUCUGAAGUCUUCGCUGAUUUCUUUUGAUUUUCCCAUGAUGUCAAGCAAAGAGGCACCGAGUUAGAAGCAUGACAAUGCUAGGUCAAUUAGGAAUGUAUGGAGUCUGAUGUGGAAGACCUUGACUGGCCUGCAAAAGGCCAAAACUGAACCCCAUUGAACAUCUUUGCGGUGAAUUGGAUGCCGACUGCGAGCCAGGAUCCAUUAAACAACAUCAGUAUCUGACCUCACUGAUGCUCAAGUGCCUGAAUGGAAGCAAAUCCAUGUGGCUUUAUUCAAACAUCAAGUGGAAAGCCUUUCUAAAAGUGUGGAAGAUGUUUUUGCAAAGAGUGGGAUCACUCUCUAUGGUUUUUGAAAUUAAGUACUCAACAAAUAUAUGAAUGUUGGUGUUCAGGUCAGGGCCUCCGCAUAGCCAGGGGGCCUCCAAAAGAAACAUGUGAACUUGGCAGUUAGCCAGGCUGUACAGAACGACAGUUUUGCUUCAAUUGCGAUUACAAAUAACAUGCGCAAAGUGUGCCUUGAAAAUCCAAAAAUGAUGCCAAUGACGCAAGAAAAAGAGCAGCAGAAACUGAGGCGAUCAAAUAAAUUACACAUUUUGAAGCAAAUUAUGUGAUAGUGAUUAUUUGAAUGAGCUACCAUUGCUGUAUUUCAUACCACAUUAACUAAUAAUAAUAAUAAUAAUAAUAAUAAUAGGCUGUUACAAAAAAUGUGACCUACAAAAAAUGUCAAUUUUUGCCCAGGGCAGUUAACCAAGUAACUCAACUUUAUGAAGUAAAACUGAUGUUUACAUUACUGCUCUAACAUAAUACACAUUUUUAGUUUUCAAAUCAGAAAUGUUUUGUGAGGGGAGGGCCUCCAACAUAAAUUUCGCCUAGGGCCUCUUUAAUGUCUACAACCGGCCCCGGUUCAGCCUUCCACAUAACUUUUUGGCCAUAUAGUAGUGUACCGUUAGCUGCUGCCUAUGUAGCAUGUUUUAUAUAUCUGUCAUUCAUGAGAUUCCUUUUUGGUAGGAAUGCUGGCUUAGACCAUUUCCACACUAAUCCGUUUAAGUUUUCAGUUUCCUAACAUCAUCGUUUUCCAAAGUAUGAGGUUAUUGAAAGAGUUUUCGAAAGUCUCUGUUUUCAGUGGAGGAAAACACAGCUCUAGUGUGGAUGAGAGGCUUAAACAUAGCAAAAUCAAUGCGGUUUCUAGGGCUGCCCCCUAAUAGUCAACCAAACGUUAGUUGAGGAGAAGAGUCUCGGUCAGUGACACUCUGGUAUCACCGCUGGUUGGGUGCUAGGUGGUACCAUGGGGUCAUUUUCAUUAAGCAGGGUUAGGGUUAAGCCUACACAGUAAAGCAAGACACCUUGAUUUCAAACUUUGAACUUUAUUUUUUAUUUAUUUUAACUAAAAUUAAAUGAAACUGGAAAAAAAUUAAGUCCAAUUAAAAUGUGUGUUGUUCAACUUACUGAAAGAUGGCUUUACAACAGUUGUGAAGGGCAACAUCUCUUUGGAAACUGACCUACUUCAUCUGUGCAUUCUCUACCAGUUGGGAAUUUCGUUGUCCAGGAAAAUACAUCAUGUGUGUGAAUAAAUUCGUUUUGUUCCCUCCUUCACGAUCGAUUGAUAGAUAGAUAGAUCGAUCGAUAUAGAUAUAUAGCAAUAUCCAAUUACAUCAGCAACCCCUGGGCUGAGGGAUCGGUGAAUAUUCUUGCUUUAGUGAUUUUGCAUUGAAAAUUAAAUUAUUUAAAAAACGAAAAACUUAAAAUCAAAUACAUUUCUAAAUUAAAAUUGCACUCCAAACGAAACGAAAAACAAUUAAAAUAACGAAGUGAUCAAAAAAAUAAUUAUUCAGAAGACAGAAACAAAGAAUGAGUGAGAACUUUACAUGCGUGUUCCACGAGACUGCACGCCUCCGAACAAACAGUGUGUCCUACAUAUGCAUAGACGGCUUUUCUGUCAUCUGUUCUUAAUAAUAUAAUAAAGUGCUUUUCUUCUAGCGCAUGUCUGUGUCUCUACGGGCAAAAUAUUUGUAAUAUUCAUUUGCUAAUAAUAAUAGCCUAAUAAUAAUAAUAAUUUAAUACAUGGAAAAACAAGCCAAAUAUCAUCUUGACAUCGUCAAAGGCAUCAGCUAUUGGCGAUCAUUCUGACCAUCACUGAUCCCAGAGAUCAUCUGCAUUUCUCUAUAAAUUAACAAAAUGUUCAGACAGCAGCUUUUGCUGGUGUCGCUGCGGCUCGCUUCAUGCGUACGCCUGUAAAAUUUAUAUUUUAAAGGCUCAUUAUUAAGAUUUAGUAUUUCUCUGUAAUGUAGAACAGUGUUAGCAAUGUUACUUAUAACAUUCUUUCUCAGCCCUGGGACUCAAACCGUUUUCUGAUGCCCCACAAAAUAUAUACAAGUAAUUAAAUUAAUACCAUAAACAUGCGACGACUAGUCGACUAAUGGCUUAAACUAAUGCCUACUAGUCGACUAGGAAAACCUUUGGUCGGGGGCAGCCCUAGCAGUUAAAAAAAAAAGCUCAGGGGCCGCAAAGCUAGAUCCCCAUGUAUGUUAAAAAAAAUAAUAAUAAUUAUUACUUCAUAGUAAUUUUUAUAGUAAGAAUUAUGAAUUUUAUAGUAAUUAUUUUAUACAUUAUACAAAUCCUAUAAAUUAGGGGUGUAACAGUUAGAUUUUCUCAUGGUUUGGAUUAAAUUUAAGGAGCCACAUUCUACCACAUUGAUAUGAUCAGUUCUGUUGUCACUGUCAACUAAUAAACGGCAUUAGUGUUCAACAUCACACUCACCCGAGAUGCAUAAAAAAACAAAAAAAAAACAAAAAGA